CAUGCCCGUUAGCUUUGUUGUUAAGCAGAAAAUUACGGUACAAAGACAGAUCGGCAGGUACUGCGGCUUAGAUAGGAAUAAUUCCAUGAAUAAACGACGAAACGACGACCCGACGCGGAGCAGGCCCGCCGCCAUGUUUAGAGGGGGCAGGGCCCACCUUCAGUGCAUCGUUUCGUUCCUGGUGCUGGCUGGCUGUUAUAUGCACACUGCCGCCUGCCACGGGUGGCUGUGAUGGUCUCCUCUGUCAAUUUUAUCUAUAGUUGGUCUUUUUUGUUAAUUUUGUUGGACACGUGGUCUUUUUGAAUAAAAAUACCUUGAUUCCUAGUGGCAUAUGUUCCCUGAAUCUGACCAGUCAUUUCUCUAGUGAUUUGUGCCAUCCUAUAGCUAUAUGUAUAAUCAAUCUCACAUGAGUAUUCCGUCAUUCAUUUAGCAAUAUAUAGAUGUAUUUGGUACCUAUCGUGCUGCGCAAACUGACAUAACUCCCUGACUUUACUACCGCAACAGACAUGCACUAUCUGCCGCACAACCUGCACCAGCUCGUAGUCCAUCGGGCCUUGUGCUUCUCAGUAAAAUAUUCAUGUCUACCAAAUCACCAAUGUAAAACAUAAUGCACCUAGCUUCUAGAGGAAGCAAACUUCUCAGUUUAUGCUUGUAAUUAACCCGUCCGGAAUUGUUGUACUCCCUUCGUCACAGUUUAAAAAGCGUGUAUGAAAAUUCUUUAGAA
rnacentral:lncRNA from 1 species